CCUACGGGGCUGCAGUGGGGAAUAUUGGACAAUGGGCGAAAGCCUGAUCCAGCCAUGCCGCGUGUGUGAAGAAGGCCUUCGGGUUGUAAAGCACUUUCAGUGGGGAAGAAAGCCUUGGGGCUAAUACCCUCGAGGAAGGACAUCACCCACAGAAGAAGCACCGGCUAACUCCGUGCCAGCAGCCGCGGUAAUACGGAGGGUGCGAGCGUUAAUCGGAAUUACUGGGCGUAAAGCGCGCGUAGGCGGUCUGAUAAGCCGGUUGUGAAAGCCCCGGGCUCAACCUGGGAACGGCAUCCGGAACUGUCAGGCUAGAGUGCAGGAGAGGAAGGUAGAAUUCCCGGUGUAGCGGUGAAAUGCGUAGAGAUCGGGAGGAAUACCAGUGGCGAAGGCGGCCUUCUGGACUGACACUGACGCUGAGGUGCGAAAGCGUGGGUAGCAAACAGGAUUAGAUACCCUAGUAGUC
rnacentral:rRNA from 1 species